UCCCUAGUACGGCGAGUGAAGAGGGAAGAGCCCAAGAUUGAAAGCUGGCGUCUUCGGCGUCCGCAUUGUAAUCUCAAGAAGUGUUUUCCGCUUCGGACCAUGCCUAAGUCCCUUGGAAAAGGGCAUCAUAGAGGGUGAUAAUCCCGUUCAUGGCAUGGAGCGCCCGAAGCUUUGUGAUACGCUUUCUAAGAGUCGAGUUGUUUGGGAAUGCAGCUCAAAAUGGGUGGUAAAUGCCAUCUAAGGCUAAAUAUUGGGGAGAGACCGAUAGCGAACAAGUACAGUGAUGGAAAGAUGAAAAGAACUUUGAAAAGAGAGUUAAACAGUACGUGAAAUUGCCAAAAGGGAAGGGUAGGAGGUCAGAGAUGCGUCUUGGAAUUCAGCCUUGCUUCUGCUUGGUGUUUUUUCCAAGUUGCAGGCCAACGUCGGUUUUGGGCACUGGAGAAGGGUGGAAGGAAUGUGGCACCUCUCGGGGUGUGUUAUAG
rnacentral:rRNA from 1 species